rnacentral:misc_RNA from 1 species
UCAAACUUGGUCAUUUAGAGGAAGUAAAAGUCGUAACAAGGUUUCCGUAGGUGAACCUGCGGAAGGAUCAUCAAAGUGGUCUGUGGGUGUGUGGAGACACACACCACCAAUCUUGUGUGAACUGUUGUUCUGUGGUGUGUGUUGGUGUGUGAUGUGCUAGGGCACUCCCACCAGCAUCACAAAUCUCUCUCAACCUUUGUCUAACAUGUACCCACAAUCUAAAACAACUUUUAACAAUGGAUCUCUUGGCUCUCGCAUCGAUGAAGAACGCAGC